rnacentral:rRNA from 1 species
AGAGUUUGAUCCUGGCUCAGAACGAACGCUGGCGGCAGGCUUAACACAUGCAAGUUGAACGGGAUUUGUGUGGUGCUUGCACCAUAUAAUGAGAGUAGCGCACUGGUGAGUAACACGUGGGAACGUGCCUUUUAGUGGGGGAUAACAUCUGGAAACGGAUGCUAAUACCGCAUACGCCCUGAGGGGGAAAGAUUUAUUGCUAAGAGGUCGGCCCGCGGUAGAUUAGGCAGUUGGUGGGGUAAAGGCCUACCAAACCUACGAUCUAUAGCUGGUCUGAGAGGACGAUCAGCCACAUUGGAACUGAGACACGGUCCAGACUCCUACGGGAGGCAGCAGUGAGGAAUAUUGGGCAAUGGAGGCAACUCUGACCCAGCCAUGCCGCGUGAGUGAAGAAGGUUUUCGGAUUGUAAAGCUCUUUCGGAUGUGACGAUGAUGACGGUAGCAUCUAAAGAAGCCCCGGCAAACUUCGUGCCAGCAGCCGCGGUAAUACGAAGGGGGCAAGCGUUGUUCGGAAUUACUGGGCGUAAAGGGUGUGUAGGCGGUUAAGUAAGAUAGUGGUGAAAUGCCGGGGCUCAACCUCGGAAUUGCCAUUAUGACUAUUUAGCUAGAAUGAUGCAGAGGAUAGCGGAAUACCCAGUGUAGAGGUGAAAUUCGUAGAUAUUGGGUAGAACACCAGUGGCGAAGGCGAGUAUCUGGCCAUUUAUUGACGCUGAGGCACGAAAGCAUGGGGAUCAAACAGGAUUAGAUACCCUGGUAGUCCAUGCUGUAAACGAUGAAUGCUAGUUGUUGGAGGAAUUCAGUGACGCAGUUAACACAAUAAGCAUUCCGCCUGGGGAGUACGGUCGCAAGAUUAAAACUCAAAGGAAUUGACGGGGACCCG